GUGAGGAAUUUUCCGCAAUGGGCGAAAGCCUGACGGAGCAAUGCCGCGUGAAGGAUGAAGGCCUAUGGGUUGUAAACUUCUUUUCUCAGAAAAGAAUUAUGACGGUAUCUGAGGAAUAAGCAUCGGCUAACUCAGUGCCAGCAGCCGCGGUAAGACAGAGGAUGCAAGCGUUAUCCGGAAUGAUUGGGCGUAAAGCGUCUGUAGGUUGUUUAAAAAGUAUUCUGUCAAAGAUUAGGGCUUAACCCUAGAUAGGCAGAAUAAACUUUUAAGCUAUAGUUUGGUAGAGGCAGAGGGAAUUCCCGGUGGGGCGGUGAAAUGCGUAGAUAUCGGGAGGAACACCAAAGGCGAAGGCACUCUGCUGGGCCAAUACUAACACUGAGAGACGAAAGCGAGGGGAGCAAAUGGGAUUAGAUACCCCAGUAGUCC
rnacentral:rRNA from 1 species